rnacentral:rRNA from 1 species
UUAAAGUAGUAAGGGCGCAGGGUGGAUGCCUUGGCACUAAGAGCCGAUGAAAGACGUGAUAAGCUGCGAAAAGCUUCGGGGAGGAGCACAUAUCCAAUGAUCCGGAGAUAUCUGAAUGGGGAAACCCGGCAGAGGAAACCUCUGUCAGCGUGCAGUGAAUACAUAGCUGUACGUGGGGAACCCGGGGAACUGAAACAUCUAAGUACCCGGAGGAAGAGAAAGAAAAUUUAUCGAUUUCCAAAGUAGCGGCGAGCGAAAUGGAAAGAGCCCAAACCGUGAUGCGUGCAUCGCGGGGUUCGGACUGCGUUGUGGCAGACGUAAGAUAGGAGAACGGACUGGGAAGUCCGGCCGGAGAGAGUGAAAGCCUCGUAUCCGAAAUCCCAAGUCGCCUAGCAGGAUCCAGAGUAGGACGAGACACGAGAAACCUUGUCUGAAUGAGCGGGGACCACCCCGUAAGGCUAAAUACUCCUUAGUGACCGAUAGCGCAUAGUACUGUGAAGGAAAGGUGAAAAGUACCCCGGGAGGGGAGUGAAAGAGAACCUGAAACCCUGUGUCUACAAGCUGUGGGACCUCUUUAUAUGAGGGACUGCGUACUUUUUGUAGAACGGUCCGGCGAGUUGUGCGUACUGGCGAGGUUAAGGACUUAAGGUCUGGAGCCGAAGUGAAAGCAAGCGUUAAUAGCGCGUCAAGUCAGUGAGUGCAGACCCGAAACCGGGUGACCUAUCCAUGUCCAGGUUGAAGCUUCCGUAAGAGGAAGUGGAGGACCGAACCCACAUCCGUUGAAAAGGGUGGGGAUGAGGUGUGGAUAGCGGAGAAAUUCCAAUCGAACCCGGAGAUAGCUGGUUCUCCUCGAAAUAGCUUUAGGGCUAGCCUCAUGAGAGUCUUAUGGAGGUAGAGCACUGAAUUGCCUAGGGGGCGUCAAAGCUUACCAAAGCAUAUCAAACUCCGAAUGCCAUCAAGAUGAUUCAUGGGAGUCAGACCAUACGAGAUAAGUUGGAUGGUCAAAAGGGAAAGAGCCCAGACCUACAGCUAAGGUCCCAAAGUACGUGUUAAGUGGAAAAGGAUGUGGGGAUUCUAAGACAACUAGGACGUUGGCUUAGAAGCAGCCAUUCAUUGAAAGAGUGCGUAAUAGCUCACUAGUCGAGAGUCCCUGCGCCGAAAAUGUCCGGGGCUGAAACACGACACCGAAGCUUAGGAAUGUGUAAACAUUGGUAGAGGAGCAUUGCUAGCGGGAUGAAGCCAUACCGUAAGGAGUGGUGGACUGCUAGGAAGAGAGAAUGCCGGAAUGAGUAGCGAGAUGAAGGUGAGAAUCCUUCAGGCCGAAUAUCUAAGGUUUCCAGAGUAAAGCUGAUCUGCUCUGGGUAAGUCGGGACCUAAGGCGAGGUCGAAAGACGUAGUCGAUGGAUAACAGGUUGAAAUUCCUGUACCGCAUAUAAACAGAACUGUGGGGACACAGACAGGGAAUGGAAUCCGGGAAUGGAAAUCCCGGUGCAAGCGAGGUAGGAGUGCUGUUGGCAAAUCCGCAGCACGAUCUGAAGACGUGACGCGUACCGAACAUAAGUAGGGAAGUCCAGGCCCCUGGCUGUCAAGAAAAGCCGCUAUUGUUUUAUAUGUGCCCGUACCGCAAACCGACACAGGUGGAUGAGGAGAGAAUCCUAAGGCCGACGGGAGAAGUAUUGUUAAGGAACUCGGCAAAAUGACUCCGUAACUUCGGGAGAAGGAGUGCCAUGAGAGUGGCCGCAGAGAAAUGGCCCAAGCAACUGUUUAGCAAAAACACAGGUCUAUGCAAAACCGCAAGGUGAAGUAUAUGGGCUGACGCCUGCCCGGUGCUGGAAGGUUAAGGGGAGAGGUUAGCGCAAGCGAAGCUUUGAACUUAAGCCCCAGUAAACGGCGGCCGUAACUAUAACGGUCCUAAGGUAGCGAAAUUCCUUGUCGGGUAAGUUCCGACCC